rnacentral:rRNA from 1 species
CCAGACUCCUACGGGAGGCAGCAGUGGGGAAUAUUGCACAAUGGGGGAAACCCUGAUGCAGCGACGCCGCGUGAGUGAAGAAGUAUCUCGGUAUGUAAAGCUCUAUCAGCAGGGAAGAAAAUGACGGUACCUGACUAAGAAGCCCCGGCUAACUACGUGCCAGCAGCCGCGGUAAUACGUAGGGGGCAAGCGUUAUCCGGAUUUACUGGGUGUAAAGGGAGCGUAGACGGUAUGGCAAGUCUGAAGUGAAAGCCCAGGGCUUAACCCUGGGACUGCUUUGGAAACUAUUAGACUAGAGUGCUGGAGAGGUAAGUGGAAUUCCUAGUGUAGCGGUGAAAUGCGUAGAUAUUAGGAGGAACACCAGUGGCGAAGGCGGCUUACUGGACAGUAACUGACGUUGAGGCUCGAAAGCGUGGGGAGCAAACAGGAUUAGAUACCCCUGUA